GAGUUUGAUCUUGGCUCAGAUUGAACGCUGGCGGCAGGCCUAACACAUGCAAGUCGAGCGGAUGACGGGAGCUUGCUCCUUGAUUCAGCGGCGGACGGGUGAGUAAUGCCUAGGAAUCUGCCUGGUAGUGGGGGACAACGUUUCGAAAGGAACGCUAAUACCGCAUACGUCCUACGGGAGAAAGCAGGGGACCUUCGGGCCUUGCGCUAUCAGAUGAGCCUAGGUCGGAUUAGCUAGUUGGUGGGGUAAUGGCUCACCAAGGCGACGAUCCGUAACUGGUCUGAGAGGAUGAUCAGUCACACUGGAACUGAGACACGGUCCAGACUCCUACGGGAGGCAGCAGUGGGGAAUAUUGGACAAUGGGCGAAAGCCUGAUCCAGCCAUGCCGCGUGUGUGAAGAAGGUCUUCGGAUUGUAAAGCACUUUAAGUU
rnacentral:rRNA from 1 species